GUCUAUAGCCACGCCACUCUGAACAAGCCCGAUCCCGUCUGAUCUCGGAAGCUAAGCAGGAUCGGGUCUAUUUAGUACUUGGAUGGGAGACCACCUAGGAAAACCAGGUGCUGUAGUCG
rnacentral:rRNA from 1 species